AUUGAACGCUGGCGGCAUGCUUUACACAUGCAAGUCGAACGGUAACAGGCCGCAAGGUGCUGACGAGAGGCGAACGGGUGAGUAAUGCAUCGGAACGUGCCCAGUCGUGGGGGAUAACGCAGCGAAAGCUGUGCUAAUACCGCAUACGAUCUGUGGAUGAAAGCGGGGGACCGAAAGGCCUCGCGCGAUUGUAGCGGCCGAUGUCAGAUUAGGUAGUUGGGGGGGUAAAGUCUCACCAAGCCAACGAUCUUUAGCUGGUCUGAGAGGACGACCAGCCACACUGGGACUGAGACACGGCCCAGAUUCAUACGGGAGGCAGCAGUGGGGAAUUUUGGACAAUGGGCGCAAGCCUGAUCCAGCAAUGCCGCGUGCAGGAAGAAGGCCUUCGGGUUGUAAACUGCUUUUGUACGGAGCGAAAAGGCUCUCUCUAAUACAGGGGGCUCAUGACGGUACCGUAAGAAUAAGCACCGGCUAACUACGUGCCAGCCGCCGCCGUAACAC
rnacentral:rRNA from 1 species